rnacentral:lncRNA from 1 species
AUUGUAUUUGUAAAGUAACUUGUUUAGUGGACUGCUUUGUAAAGAACUGUUUUAGUGGAGACUUUUAUUAUGAAAAGCACAGUGUAACUCAGGAAGUUGUUGUCUACACCGCAUGGCAAGUUGAAGCUGUAUUCCACGUUUCUAAAGAGCAUUUAAGUUCAUUUACUCAUCUGAAGUUACAGAAAAUAUUACCAGAUGUAAGAUUAAGUUCUCCUUUGGUAAUAAGCAGCCAAUGAAUUCUCACGGCAUCUUGAAUUGGAUGGUUAUCCUCAUGGUGAACCAGUCAAUAAAUCCUGUAUUCCACGUUUCUAAAGAGCAUUUAAGUUCAUUUACUCAUCUGAAGUUACAGAAAAUAUUACCAGAUGUAAGAUUAAGUUCUCCUUUGGUAAUAAGCAGCCAAUGAAGUAAGUUUGUCAUUUAUAUUGUAUGUGAUUAAUGUGGAUUGUGUUGCUGUGUGGAAAAGAGUGAUAUACAAAGACUAUAGUUUGCUGUUAAAGUGAAUUUAACUCUGUUUGGAAAGUUUACAAAGACAACAUUUAUUUAUUUGAUUUAUUUAUGUCCUUUUAUAUUCUUUAUUGUAACUUUUAUUUUUGUAUAUUUAGUUCUCACGGCAUCUUGAAUUGGAUGGUUAUCCUCAUGGUGAACCAGUCAAUAAAUCGCCUGUCAUCAGAGAAUCCUUGUGCUCGUGAAAUUACUGGGGGGAGCUACAAGUAACAUUUAAAAAACGGCCAACUAAAAGGUUUCAGGAAAAAAGUUUCUUGAAUAAUACAUUUUUUUUUUUUUUGUGCCAACAUUAUUAAAGACCAGACAAAAUUGAAUAAACAUUCUGUUAAUGUUACUGGAAGAACAACUCUGUUAGCUGGGCUGCAUACCGUGCAGAAUGCAUUGUUAAAUGUAACUUUUUGUUAUUGUAUAUUAUAUUAUGUAUAAAAAUUUCCAAAACUUUGAAAAUGAUUUUUAAGAGUGCUACAUUUUUGUUAAAUGACCUUACUAUGUUGCAUGUUUAAUUCAGAAAGUCGUGUCCUGUUAUCAUGACUAAAAGUUUUUAACUUCAGACAUUCGGAUCAAAUAAGAAAUAACAGUAAAGUGCAUUGCAUUAUGGGAUUCAUUCUACUCUAAUGGCCAGAACAUGGCAAAAUGGCUAAACAUGGCCAAAAGCUUUUCAUGUCUAAUAAAUGAACAAACAACAAUGAAAACAACAGCAAUAGUCUGAAUCUGCAUUUGAGGCAUUAUCUUACCAUCAUCUUUUUUAUUAUUUUUUUUAAUUAAUUGCUUGACUUUAAUUUCAUUUCACUCAAAACUGAAAUGUGAGAUUUUUUUACAGUGAGAACUUUUUUUUUAAAUCCCUGAUGGAAACAGGCUUCUAUGGAAGCCCAUUUCCACCACUGAAUAAAAAAAUAAUAAUAAUAAAAAGGUAAUUGCGACUUUUUUUUCAAGCAAUUGCACGUUAUUAAGUCAGAAGUGUGAGAUAUAAACUCGCAAUUCUGAGAACAUAUCAGUCUUUUUUUCCUCCUCAAAACUGGACUUUAUAACUUGCAACUGUGAGUUUAUAUCUCACAAGAUAUACAAUUCAGAGAAAAAAGUCAAAUUUGCGAGAAAAAGUCAGAAUUGCAAAAAAAAAAGUUGAAUUAGACAAGAAAUAAAGUCAAGAAUUAGUAGAGAAAAAAAAAUCAAG